rnacentral:rRNA from 1 species
AGGGAAUCUUCCACAAUGGACGCAAGUCUGAUGGAGCAACGCCGCGUGAGUGAAGAAGGCUUUCGGGUCGUAAAACUCUGUUAUUGAAGAAGAACGUGUGUGACAGUAACUGGUCAUGCAGUGACGGUAUUCAAUCAGAAAGUCACGGCUAACUACGUGCCAGCAGCCGCGGUAAUACGUAGGUGGCAAGCGUUGUCCGGAUUUAUUGGGCGUAAAGCGAGUGCAGGCGGUCUUUUAAGUCUGAUGUGAAAGCCUUCGGCUUAACCGAAGAAGGGCAUCGGAAACUGGGAGACUUGAGUGCAGAAGAGGAGAGUGGAACUCCAUGUGUAGCGGUGAAAUGCGUAGAUAUAUGGAAGAACA